CUUUGCUUGAUGUUGAUAAGGGACUCCGAACCUCUCCGAGGACGCCGACUGCUAACAAAAUGAGCCGUGAACUGGUAGCUCAUAUGAUCAAAGGAAAAGAUGGUACCCGACUUCAACACUGAGUACCAGUUCCUUACUGCUCCCUUCAGGGUGGAUGGAAAAGCUCGGCACAGAAUGGUGUCUGGCAUGCCAUGGAGCUGCAUCAUCAUUCGGAAGGCUUCCAGGUGGUCGACCGGGUCUGAGGUCCCGUCAUAGCUUUUGAAUUGGGGGAGCUUGAAGUUUGGCGAGAUCGGUUCCUGCAUGAUCAUUUAAGAAAAGGGGGAGUCAGUACAGAUGUCCUCACCAUAAGCAGGGGGAGCAUGACGGAGUUCUUCAAUCCGUCGGUUCAUCUCUUGGAGCCUUCGAUCCAGAAAGUCCUCUUGACUACAGGUCUCGAGGGUCUUCGGGC
rnacentral:lncRNA from 1 species